GCUCUUAUAGCUUAACUAAAGCAUAGCGUUGAAAACGCUAAAAUGGCCCAUAAAAAGUCCUAAGAACA
rnacentral:tRNA from 1 species